rnacentral:SRP_RNA from 1 species
GCCGGGCGUGGUGGCGGGUGCCUGUAGUCCCAGCUACUUGGGAGGCUGAGGCAGGAGAAUCACUUGAACCCGGGAGGUGGAGCUUGCAGUGAGCCGAGAUGGCGCCACUGCACUCCAGCCUGGGUGACAGAGAGAGACUCUGUCUCAA